rnacentral:rRNA from 1 species
AUUGAACGCUGGCGGCAGGCCUAACACAUGCAAGUCGAACGGUAACAGGAAGCAGCUUGCUGCUUUGCUGACGAGUGGCGGACGGGUGAGUAAUGUCUGGGAAACUGCCUGAUGGAGGGGGAUAACUACUGGAAACGGUAGCUAAUACCGCAUAACGUCGCAAGACCAAAGAGGGGGACCUUAGGGCCUCUUGCCAUCGGAUGUGCCCAGAUGGGAUGAGCUAGUAGGUGGGGUAACGGCUCACCUAGGCGACGAUCCCUAGCUGGUCUGAGAGGAUGACCAGCCACACUGGAACUGAGACACGGUCCAGACUCCUACGGGAGGCAGCAGUGGGGAAUAUUGCACAAUGGGCGCAAGCCUGAUGCAGCCAUGCCGCGUGUAUGAAGAAGGCCUUCGGGUUGUAAAGUACUUUCAGCGGGGAGGAAGGGAGUAAAGUUAAUACCUUGGCUCAUUGACGUUACCCGCAGAAGAAGCACCGGCUAACUCCGUG